ACAUAUUCUAAAUACUGUUCUGUAUACUAUAAUAUAUAUACUAUAUAUACAGACACUGUGUAGAAUUUAUAUACUAUAUAUUCUAUAUAUCUAGGAGAUCACAGUUCACCAGGUGAGAGGCGCUGAAAAGAACUUCUUAGGAAUGACUUAACUUUCCCAUGCUGGGCCUCAGAAAGCUCACCUGCUUUCAACUUUUACAGGUAACUGGAGCCCUUCUCCAGACAGGCAAGGUAAACAAAUGUAUAUUCUUUCAGGCAGUAUAUGAAAGACAAGCUUUGUUUAUGUCUGCCCAGUCAGUAGAGCUCACAUGAUGCUUUAAGGUGCUUCAGUAAUUAGAAAAAUCGCUGACAGACAAAACUGGAAAAUAAAUGACAUGGGCUCAUUGUUGUUACUACAUUUAAAGCUUUUACCUUCACCCUAAUAAGGUGCCAGUUCCACUCAGGCUUAACUGUCUUGCUUACCUGCAGAGCAGAGCCAGUUCCUUGUCUUAGGAAAAGACAGGGCUUGUUGCUGCUGAAAAGAAGCAUCAAGCUAACUUUCCUUGGUUUUAUGCAGAUUUGGUAAUUAGGUACUCUCUCCUGUAGGAAGAUGAGCUUCAUGGUGGCUCUCAGUCUUGGGAAAUUGGAUUGCUGGUAGUUAGAAGAGUGUUGUCAUCACACAGGUUGCUGUUGCUUUUCCCGGUUGUUGCAAUCCCUGGUGGCUGAAGCAGAUAUCCUCUGUGCUGCUUUCAGUCUCUCCGUUUUCCCAGACUUGGCUAAUAUUCAUUCAUGGAUGCUGUGUGCAGUGACAUUGUCUCUUGGAAUAGUAUCUGCAUUAUUGCAAGUGUUGUCUUGCCUGUUUAGCCCACAUUGCCCUAAGCUUUAUUUACAUGAGAGUUUGGAAUUACUGGCUGGGACUGGAACUCUGCCUGAAAACACUUCACCUAUAAUGCAGCAGAAGCGGUUGGUUUGUGGCUUCUCUUUGAUAUAAUGUUUUCAUUAAAUAAAAACACAGAGAAGGGUAUUUUCUGAAGAUGUUAGUGUGCUUGUUUUGGACUGAGCCCUUUUCCCCAGUGAAUCAAUCAUUGCACAACUUGGCGUGACUGGCAUUCCCUGAUUGAGAGGCAGAAGCUCCAGCUUGCAGAUCAAAGUGGAGCAACCCAUCGGAAUUCGGGUGUCCCAGCAAAACCAGGCAGUGGAAGCUUGUGGGUGGCCUCAGUGCUAGGUUCAGGUGUCCUUCACCCGUGAUCCUUGAGGACAGGAGAGCUCUCUAUUCCAAGGAGGCUUUAAAGCUAAACACAGACCAAAAAAAGGAAGGACAGAGCGGUCCCGUAGCUCCUACACUCAGGGAGGAUAGCUGAGAGAAACAAGCAAACAAAAGAAAACUUUAGGAUUCUAACCCAGCUGAAAAAACUUGUUCCUAAAGAGCCAGAGAGACUGAAGCAGCUGAUUUCCCACUCUAGGUGAGUGCACUUAAAGCAAGUGUCAGCAUCUUCCAAUGAAUGUGUGAAAUCUCCCAGCACUGUUUGCCUGAUGAGGAUAGUUUUAAUUAUUUAUGGUAGUCACUCUUGAAAAUACUAUCAAGAUUUAUGUAGUCUUGGAUCAGGCUGCAGCAUUAUCUCUGCAAAAAGUGGAUAAACACAGUUCCAUAAAUCAUGGCUAUAUUGAUAAUUUUGUACUGAGGAGACAACCUUCAUGGUGAAAUAGCUCAGAGUCUACAGUCUAAAGUGUUUAAUAGAAGCUGCACAUAAUAGAGCUAAAACCCACAUGUGUAUAGCAUAAUGUUAGGGAAGAAAAGCCAUUUUAGAGAAUAUUUAUUUUAUUUUCAAUUUCAGUCUCUCGUCAGCUUCUGAAAAUCCGUGAUUAUAAAGCAUAACACCCAUGCUGUAAAAGGAGCUUCUAAUAAACCACAGCAGCUUCUUGUUGGCCACUGUCUAUCUGAGCAAGAGCUGAAUGGCUUAUUGAUCAUAUUUCUUCCCCAUAUGCUUGCACAUUUUUGCAGCGGUGAGGUAAUUUUGGCUAGGUCCUUCUUUUGUGGCUUUGGCCAUUUAGAUGGCUGUGGGUGUCUUAAGGGCUUAAGUGUAAUAUCAGUGCAGGGGAAGAUGGGAGAUUUAAAUCACUGUGAUUAUGCUGGCAUAAUUCAGCCUAGUGGGUUCUUAUUACAUAUAAAAAGCCUUUUUCCAGUAGUUUCAUAAGGAGUAAUUUAAGAGUAUAUUUAAAAAAAAACCAAACCAACAAAGCAAACCCUCCAAAAGCAAGACUGCUGUUCCAGAAGAAAAAGGGGUUAUUUUGCAGUUACACUUGUACACUGAAAUUGGUUUAAUUAUCUUGACUGGAACUGCUCUGUGUAAACAAAUAAUUUUGACUUCAUCACCUCGAUCCUGAAAUAAAUAACAAAAAGCAGUUGUCAUGGAUGGAAAGGUCCAUUCUGUGCUUCUGCAUUUUGGGUUCUACUCAGUCUAAUGAUUUCUAUCAUGUACACAAUUCAUGUUUGCCAUUGUCUACAGCUCAUUUGAAUGAGGUAUAGUCGUAGGACAGGAGAAAUGGGCUUCCUUGCUGCUUUCAGUGAUCCUGUCAGUAAAACAGUGAUUCAGCAAUAUUCUGUGUUUAAAGCUGUAAGUGCAAUUCAGGAAUCAGUUCUGCCUAGAAACACAAACAGCUGCUGGUGGGGUUCUCUGUGAGGAAAUCAUCCUGUGUCUUUUGUGGAUCAUUUAUAUUGCAAGGAGUCUUGUGACUCCACUUAUUUUUAACUCUGUGGAGUGCUUGUUUACCUUUGCAAAGCGACAGUUUUGGUGUCAUUCUUUGUUAAACUUUCUUUUGAGGAAAGCAGUAGAUGAAAUAAGAAAAGCUGACUCAUUGCCUUGUUUCACCAAGUUACAGUUUCAGGGUUUAUUUUCACAUAAUGUGAGUUUUUGUUGAGUUGUACAAAAGUAGUUGAGCAAAACCACUGAAGUGUCUUUGGUGAUUAAUCAGAUGGAGAUUGCUGAACAUACCGAUUUUGUCUGAAGGAAAAUUAAAUUCAGUAUUUCUAGGGUGACUUAGAGAAGCAGCAACAAAAUUUUGUUUUAUGAUUGCUUCUCAAUCUUUAAGCCUAAUAUGCUUUUUUAAUAUCUUGGUUAUUGAAUCUGUGGAAUUGAAUCUCUUGCUUGCAUGGUUCAUGUUUUAAUUUGAAGGUUUAAACCUUCUCAAACAUAAUUUCCUAACCAGAUUGUGCCAGAUGUAUUUUCUUCUAGAAGAAAAGGUCAUACCAUCCUACAGAAGUUGAUUUUGUAGCUUAAUUUCAGAGGGCGAGCUAUAUGAGGAGCAAUUUUUAAUCUUCUGGGUAUGCUGAAAUUUAAACAAGGCUCGCUUUGGAGCCACAAGUGAAAAUACAGAAAGAACAUGAAAUCUAGGAAUCUUCAUUGUGUUCCAAAUGCAGUAUUGUUAGUGCAUCUGAACUGUAGAGAAUCAUCUUGCUGAGUUCAGAAAGGCAUUUUUGGCAGACUGACUGGCAUGGUUGGAUUGCAGCCCUGUGUUGAAUGACUUGCCACAAUUUAGGGUAUCAAAAUGUAUUUUAUUGGAAUUUUCCUCCAUGUCUCCUGGCAGUAAGAAAUAUAUGAACUAUAAGCAUACUAAUGCACUUCUGUAAAACUGUAUUGACUGGUAAUUUUCUUUAUCUGUGCCAUAAAAUCAUCCUCCAGAUGGGGAGGGGAAACAAGAAUGAGCCAUUGUCUGCUGCCUUGAUGUGUAAAGACCUGCAAGACAGGCUAAAGGUUUUUCUAGCUUAAAAUUUAGGACCUGCCUUUGACUCUGUCUGGAAAAGCAAUUAAAUGGUCUGUGAGCUAAGUGUGAAAAUGGAGUAAUGGAGGAAAGAAGGGGUUUUAGUCCGUUUUUUAAUGUUCUGCUAUUGUUCAAUCUGUUUAACAUCAGUCCCUAGCACUUUUUAGAGGGUGCCUCUGAUCAAAGAUCCAGUAUGAGUAUUUGUAAGACUGAGACCUGACAGUGGGGGUGCUAGAACAUCAUCACGUAAAGCCAGAGAAAAUUAGAGUUGGCAGUCUUUAAUUACUUUUUUUUUUUUAAUAUGAAAACUCUUCUGGGAUGCUCAGAGAUGGUUACACUGUAAAGAACAAAAAUCCCCAGACAGCCCAGUUUCAAAGGUCCUGGAGGUCACCUCUAAUGAUGAGGCAAUGAUGUAAUUGGUUUGCAUUACAUUAUUCAAGUCAUCAUCUUCCCUCCACACUAAAGCUUUUAGCCUGUGUGAAGAAAUCACCGGUGAGAAUUGGGCAGUAGGUUUACUUUAGGCUCUGAGCUCUCAUUUCAUAAACGUGAAGCAGAAUUCCACACCCAAAUUUUGUAAUUCUGCAGCUGUUUGGUCUAAUCAGAAUUGAGGAAGCUGUCUGUGUCUUUUAUGGUAUUUUUGGACAAACUUUUUAUCACUUUCCUUACUGAGCUAACCCAAGUGGAGGUUUAGAACUGGGUAAGAAUCUCUCCAAGGGUAAUCACAGCUGAUGGAGUUGACCUUCCUGACUGGCUUGUU